rnacentral:rRNA from 1 species
GACAGAGGGUGCAAACGUUGUUCGGAAUUACUGGGCGUAAAGCGCGUGUAGGCUGCUCUGUGUGUCGGAUGUGAAAUCCCCGGGCUCAACCUGGGAACUGCAUUUGUGACUGUAGAGCUGGAGUACGGCAGAGGGGGAUGGAAUUCCGCGUGUAGCAGUGAAAUGCGUAGAGAUCGGGAGGAACAUCUGUGGCGAAGGCGGCCACCUGGACCAACACUGACACUGAGGUACGAAAGCGUGGGGAGCAAACAGG